GAAGAAUAUUGGGCAAUGGGCGAAAGCCUGACCCAGCAACGCCGCGUGAAGGAAGAAGGUUUUCGGAUUGUAAACUUCUGUCCCAUGGGAAGAAAAAAAUGACGGUACCAUGGGAGGAAGCCCCGGCUAACUACGUGCCAGCAGCCGCGGUAAUACGUAGGGGGCGAGCGUUGUCCGGAAUUAUUGGGCGUAAAGGGUGCGUAGGCGGCCUUUCAAGUUGGAUGUGAAAUCCCCGUGCUUAACAUGGGAAUUGCAUUCAAAACUGGAGGGCUUGAGUGUGGAAGAGGUAAGUGGAAUUCCCAGUGUAGCGGUGAAAUGCGUAGAGAUUGGGAGGAACACCAGUGGCGAAGGCGACUUACUGGGCCACAACUGACGCUGAGGCACGAAAGCGUGGGGAGCAAAC
rnacentral:rRNA from 1 species